rnacentral:tRNA from 2 species
CGGGUUAAGGCCAGUUUGGUAAGGCCCUCUGUUUGGGACAGAGAGAUCCUAUGUUCGAUCCAUAGUAACCCGA